UACAGAGGGUGCGAGCGUUAAUCGGAAUUACUGGGCGUAAAGCGUGCGUAGACGGCUAUCUAAGUCGGGUGUGAAAGCCCCGGGCUCAACCUGGGAAUUGCAUUCGAGACUGAAUAGCUAGGGUGCGGUAGAGGGAAGCGGAAUUUCCGGUGUAGCGGUGAAAUGCGUAGAUAUCGGAAGGAACAUCAGUGGCGAAAGCGGCUUCCUGGACCAGCACCGACGUUCAGGCACGAAA
rnacentral:rRNA from 1 species